rnacentral:rRNA from 1 species
GACGAACGCUGGCGGCGUGCCUAAUACAUGCAAGUAGAACGCACAGUUUAUACCGUAGCUUGCUACACCAUAGACUGUGAGUUGCGAACGGGUGAGUAACGCGUAGGUAACCUGCCUGGUAGCGGGGGAUAACUAUUGGAAACGAUAGCUAAUACCGCAUAAUAUUAAUUAUUGCAUGAUAAUUAAUUGAAAGGUGCAAUUGCACCACUACCAGAUGGACCUGCGUUGUAUUAGCUAGUAGGUGAGGUAACGGCUCACCUAGGCGACGAUACAUAGCCGACCUGAGAGGGUGAUCGGCCACACUGGGACUGAGACACGGCCCAGACUCCUACGGGAGGCAGCAGUAGGGAAUCUUCGGCAAUGGACGAAAGUCUGACCGAGCAACGCCGCGUGAGUGAAGAAGGUUUUCGGAUCGUAAAGCUCUGUUGUAAGAGAAGAACGGGUGUGAGAGUGGAAAGUUCACACUGUGACGGUAUCUUACCAGAAAGGGACGACUAACUACGU